rnacentral:rRNA from 1 species
GGGGAGUUUGAUCAUGGCUCAGGAUGAACGCUAGCGGCAGGCUUAACACAUGCAAGUCGAGGGGUAGUUACUUUCGGGUAAUGAGACCGGCGCACGGGUGCGUAACGCGUAUGCAAUCUACCUUUUACAGGGGAAUAGCCCAGAGAAAUUUGGAUUAAUGCCCCAUGGUAUUAUAGAGUGGCAUCACUUUAUAAUUAAAGUUCCAACGGUAAAAGAUGAGCAUGCGUCCCAUUAGUUAGUUGGUAAGGUAACGGCUUACCAAGACGAUGAUGGGUAGGGGUCCUGAGAGGGAGAUCCCCCACACUGGUACUGAGACACGGACCAGACUCCUACGGGAGGCAGCAGUGAGGAAUAUUGGACAAUGGGCGCAAGCCUGAUCCAGCCAUGCCGCGUGCAGGAAGAGGCAUCUAUGGUGUGUAAACUGCUUUUAUACAGGAAGAAACACUCCCUCGUGAGGGAGCUUGGCGGUACUGUAAGAAUAAGGACCGGCUAACUCCGUGCCAGCAGCCGCGGUAAUACGGAGGGUCCAAGCGUUAUCCGGAAUCAUUGGGUUUAAAGGGUCCGUAGGCGGUUUAAUAAGUCAGUGGUGAAAUCUGGUCGCUC